UAUAAGUUGAGCAGAACCCUGCAGAAGAAAGAGAAGCGCGAAGAUUGCCACAAAGCAACGUCCAAGAUAUAGCUUCAACGUUGAAGAAGUUGGCUGGCUGACUCCUUUUAAAUCUCAUGGCGAUCCUCAUGUCAUGCGUUACUCCCAAAACGUUGGCGACAUGCACUCCGGAGGUUUCUCGGCAACAACGGGACACAUGUAUUUCUGUCUCAGCUCAUCGCCGGCAAAUCCGAAUCGGCUUAACCAUGAAGUCUUGGGGCACCAGCUGUACCGUUCCGCCGAUGCGGAUAAGAGGAGCAACAUGAAUUACUGCAGCUGGUUCCGGUCCUGGAGAAUUGCCAGAAGAAAAAUCACCAAUACCCAACAAAGAGGCUGCAAUUAGUUCGGACCCUGGGGAAUUACCAGGAAAAUCCCCACCGCCCAACAAAUCUUCAUUGGUCACGGUGGUCGUUGGUGGCGUCUUUGGAGCAGUAUCUUUUUACGGACAGAUGAGAGCAAUGGAAGAGAAUGUGGAAAAGACGGCAGAGGUAGCAAUCGAGACUAUCGAGAAAGCGGCGGAUGUGGUUGACAAACUCGCAGACGAAGUCAUAGCAUUUCCCGGUAAUGAAAACCUUAAGAAGGCAGCCUUCAGGAUCAAAGUCAUCGCAGAAGAGAUAGAGAAGGAUGCAGAAGAAGCCGAGGCCCUAAUCCACAAGGUUGAAGAGAUAGAAAAAGAGGUGGAUGCUGCAGUGGAUACUUUCAUGGGGAAGGGCAUGAAGAAGGGAUCGCAGAGACGAAUGGGGUAGCAAAUAAAAGUAACAGUUACUGAUAGUAGAAGUGAACAAAUAAAUAUAGGAUCAUCUUCUCAUUGGAUGGUAAGCCAGAUCGCUGCAUGCAGGCUUGUGUGCCCGAUUUGGAGUCCAUCUUUACUUGUGUCACCUUUUUAUGUUAGAAAAUACGUGAGACACAAGCAUAGUUUCUACCGUGGCUAUAAUGAAACAUACAUGAAAAGUAGUCAUAUAUGUACUGAUAGAGCUUUCUUCUUUGUUGUUCAAAUCUCACAAUGAGACUGGGUGUGUACAAUCUACCACGCGUAUAAAAGUAGAAGUCCACAAGCCCCUCUUUCAGAGUGGGAAGCCUUUUAGGCGGAGAUCUGAAUCCUAGCACUCUUUUUUGGUCUAAAUCCCAACACUUUUUUUCGUCCCCUGAA